UCCAAUCUCUGCGUGUUACCCAGUUCC
rnacentral:piRNA from 1 species